GUGCCCUCUGUGGGCACUGGCGGGAUGGAGAUGGUGCAGCGUGGAGCAAUUCUCAGCCAUACAGCCCGAAAAAUACCACCUGCGUGGGAAGGACCUGAAGGACCUGAAGCCUGAUUUGUACUGUCUUGCACAUACAACAUGAACAAAUGAGUCUCAUGCUGAAAACAUCAUUAGAGAAGAAGCAAAGUUACAUUUCACAAACUGUUUUACAUUAUCUGCAAGAAAGGUCUGUGUAAGAGGGUUUAAGGGAAGGAGAGAAUAUGUAGGGAACCAAACAGAUGUUCCGGUUAGAGGCUCUGAAACAGCAGCUCAGCCAGAGGCCUCUGAGAUAACACAGGAAUCCACUAAAAGACCUUGGGCAGCCUGGGAAGGAGAGAAAAGAAGCUGCUAAUUGCUGCGGAGGAAUACCUGUGAUGAGUACCUGCACUUAAAGAUAAAAAUAAGAUAGAGAAAACGGUUUUAAGCUAACACUACUUAUAGAAUAUAUACUGGUAUAUAUUUAACAAUAAUAGUGUGUUAUUAAAAGGUUUGAAAGGAGUGUGUAAAUUUAAAAAAUGUGUGUAACAGUAUAAAAAGUA